GACGAACGCUGGCGGCGUGCUUAACACAUGCAAGUCGAACGGUGAAGCGCCUUCCUUUUUGGUGGGUGUGGAUGAGUGGCGAACGGGUGAGUAACACGUGAGUAACCUUCCCCCUUCUUCUGGAUAACCGCAUGAAAGUGUGGCUAAUACGGGAUAUUCUGGGUCUGUCGCAUGAUGGGUCUGGGAAAGAUAUUGUUUCGGUGGGGGAUGGGCUCGCGGCCUAUCAGCUUGUUGGUGGGGUGAUGGCCUACCAAGGCGGUGACGGGUAGCCGGCCUGAGAGGGUGGACGGUCACACUGGGACUGAGACGCGGCCCAGACUCCUACGGGAGGCAGCAGUGGGGAAUAUUGCACAAUGGGCGCAAGCCUGAUGCAGCGACGCCGCGUGAGGGAUGGAGGCCUUCGGGUUGUGAACCUCUUUCGCCAGUGAAGCAGGCCUGCCUCGUUUGUGGGUGGGUUGACGGUAGCUGGAUAAGAAGCGCCGGCUAACUACGUG
rnacentral:rRNA from 1 species